CAUCUCCUCAACUCCGACAAAUAAAAGCCUCCAGCGAUACCAUCAAUAAAAGUCUCCGGUGACAUCUCAUCAGCAAACUCUUCGUAGGAUGCAUCUCCAACUCCAGCAAAAACCCAAUUUCGAAGGCAACAGAUCAUCUCCCUCUCUCUCUCUCUCUCUCUCUCUCUCUCUCUCUCUCUCAUUUUUUUCCUUUAAAAGCGGCCAAUAUCAGUUUGAAAAAUUUUGUCCUUAUCAGUUUGCUUUCCUCCCUUUUCCUUUCAAAAAUUGUCUAGAAUUACUGGUGUAGAUUCUUGAAGUUGGAUUUGAAUGAAUUUUUGUGGGUUUCUUUUGUUUUAGUUUGUUCUUACUUGAUUAGGGUUAAAUCUGAUUUGAUUGAUGCUAAUGAAUUAAUUUGGCUGCUGAGUUUUGGGGGUUUUAUGAUUCUUGGAAUCAGAAUCCGAGUAGGGUAGGGUAGUGUUUUUCUUACAAUCUGGUGAGACCAUUUGUAAAGCUGAAGAACUUCUGUAGAAGGCCACGAUUCCAAAUUAACAUUUGUCCCAAUCGCAUAAUACCAUGAAAGUUUUGCCUGCUCAAAUUGUUGCUGCCCAAGAGCUAGAAAGCCUUCAUAGAAAUUUGGCUUGAUAAGAAGUGCUUCUUCAUAUUUCUUACCAGCUGCGGAGUAUUCCUUUUGUGCCCAACCAUAUGCAUUUUUCACCUGCUCUAACACAGACUCCCUUGAAGCAUCUUCAUUGCGUUUUAAAGAUUGGCAGGUGCUUGCCCUUCCUAAUAUUGGAGAUUCCUUUCUUUGUUCAAUAAAUUCAGUUCCUAAUGCCUUCAUAUAUGUUUUAACAGAGGAUUUUGAGAAUAAUAUGAAUUCCUAAUGACUUUGCCAACAACUUACAUCAGUGUAGUUUUGAGUUGUUAUUUUUGGUUCAUUGAGUUGCAUGAAGUCGAUGCCUUCUCAUAUUAGUAUCCUGCAUAAACCAAGCUUGGGCAUUGUUCCCCUAUAUGCAAAAUCAAAACUUUUCCUCGUGCCAUGUUCGGGUGGCAAUAAAAUUCUAGUUCUUCUAAAAGUUGGAGGGUUCAAGUCUUCUCCUUAUUACAGUAGCUGAUGUUUGGUGCGAUUAAUUGCGUCCUCAACUUACAUCAGUGUAGUUAUUGCAGGUCUUCUCCUUAUUACAGUAGCUGAUGUUUGGUUUUUUUUUAAGUCAACAGAAAUCACGGGGAGGAGAAAUAAGUGGCUAGAUGUUGACUAGCUCUCCAAAUUGGGUAGUAAAGUCAACUGGUAGAGCUUGCAAGACUUGCAAGGGUGUCUAUUAGUUGUCAUAGCAACAUUGGUUGUACUGUAAAACCAUUCUUACUACUGUCAAUGGUCUCCAAAUGUCUCUCUGGAACAUGCAAUAAGUGAAAUAAUGUCGUUGCAACAUCAUUAAGAAAAAGUCAACUUUGAGCUAGAGAUCAAGUAGAAAUUAACAGAAACACUUUUAAAAAUUGAGCUUGUUACUGUGCAAUUUGAGUAAAUAGUCUACCCAGCUGCCGCAUCAAAGGUAGAGGUAGGUGGUGGCUUCAAAGUCUUCUCCUUAUUCUGUUAGUACUUAUCUUUCUUUGGUAUAACUUCUUGAUUUUCUUGUAUGGCCUAUGAGUUAUAAUAGGUUGUGCUUCACAAGUGGACUUGAUGCUUCUCUCACGUAUUAAGAUAUUUAUUUUUCCUGUUGUGUUUCAGCACCAUUGAACCUUGGAGGUGAUCUAGAAGUGGAAAAAAGGACAACUGACUGAGUACCUUGCCACUUGCUGUGGCCUUGGAAAUUUGUAGGUGCAGGCCAACUGGAUUUGUUCAAAGCUCUGGUCACUAAGUUUUUUCUUGUAAAACAUUCACAUGAACAUUGGUGACCAUCUUGAUUCAAUUGGAAGCCGCUUUUGGCUAUAUGAACCCUUGUAGUUAGCAAGUCUAUUGAAGGACAGAACCGACUUGAUGAUAGGAUAAAGUAAGUUACAGGCUAUUAUUGUGUGCUAAUUCUUGAUUCAAUUGGAAGCCCAUCUUUAGGUGAUGUUGAAUAUAAUAAGUAGUGGAAAUCUUUGAAAAGAGAUUCCAUACCAUAAACUACAUGAUUAUGAAUCCUUGUCUUGUAUAAGGUCCGCAUUAUGAUCGAAAAGGAGGAAAGUAUUAAGAAA
rnacentral:lncRNA from 1 species